rnacentral:SRP_RNA from 1 species
GCUGGGUGCGGUGGCAUGUACCUGUAAUCCAAGUCACUGGGAGGCUGAAGUUGGUGGAUCAAGUGAGCUGAGGAGCUCUGGGCUGCAGCACACUAUGUGGAACGGGUGUCCACGCUAAGUUCGGUAUCGAUAUGGUGUUCCUGGGGGAGCCCGGGACCACCAGCUUGUCUAAGGAGGGGUGAACCGGCCCAGGUCGGAAACGAAGCAGGUCAAAUCCCCUGUGCUGUCCAGUAGUGGGAUAAUACCUGUGAGUAGAUGCUGCAGUGCAGCCUUGGCGAAACAUCGAGACCUAAUCUUUC